GAUGAACGCUGGCGGCGUGCCUAAUACAUGCAAGUCGAGCGAACAGACGAGGAGCUUGCUCCUCUGACGUUAGCGGCGGACGGGUGAGUAACACGUGGAUAACCUACCUAUAAGACUGGGAUAACUUCGUGAAACCGGAGCUAAUACCGGAUAAUAUAUUGAACCGCAUGGAUCAAUAGUGAAAGACGGUUUUGCUGUCUCUUAUAGAUGGAUCCGCGCCGCAUUAGCUAGUUGGUAAGGUAACGGCUUACCAAGGCAACGAUGCGUAGCCGACCUGAGAGGGUGAUCGGCCACACUGGAACUGAGACACGGUCCAGACUCCUACGGGAGGCAGCAGUAGGGAAUCUUCCGCAAUGGGCGAAAGCCUGACGGAGCAACGCCGCGUGAGUGAUGAAGGUCUUCGGAUCGUAAAACUCUGUUAUUAGGGAAGAACAACUGUGUAAGUAACUAUGCACGUCUUGACGGUACCUAAUCAGAAAGCCACGGCUAACUACGUG
rnacentral:rRNA from 1 species